rnacentral:lncRNA from 1 species
CUGCAGCACAGGGAGGUUCCCAGGCUAGAAGUCCAAUCAGAGCUGUAGCCGCCAGCCUACACCACAGCCACAGCAACGUGGGAUCCGGGCCACAGCUGCAACCUACACCACAGCCCAGAGCAACGCCAGAUCCUUAACCCACUGAGCGAGGCCAGGCAUGGGAUCCACAUCAUCAUGGAUGCUAGUCGGGUUCGCUAACCCGCUGAGCCAUGAUGGGAACUCCAGGAACUCAGUAGACAUUUUUUGGACAUUAAAUGAGUGGUUUUUAUUUUUGAGAGAGGAGAAAAUCAACUCGGGGGUCGGAUGUCUAAGACAUUACCCAUAGGUUCCUCUCCCUCCAGCAAAAAACUCAAUCUCACUCUCCCAACUCUGCUCCCCAUGGAGAGUGCCGGUGGUCUUGAUUCCCCAGUGAGAGAUACACACGAAGCCUCGGCCUGACCUAAGAAACAGCUCCUUCACUGUUGGCAGGUUCAAAUCCUGAGAUGGGGGCGGGAAGCCUCUACUCGGGAAUAUUACAAGAAGAAAACAGAACAUCGUCAGAACAGCCCCAGAAAGGCACCGCCUGUGAGGAGCGGAAGGCGCAAGUGACCUCCCAGCCUUUUCCCGCGUGGAGACUCUGCUUUCCAGGGGUGGCAUCAGAGAGCGGGCGGGGGAACCAUGCUGCCGGUGAUGGCAUAAUUGUUCCUUACCUCUCCUGGCUCCCCCAGUGUUAAAUGAGCUUUAUGUCAAUACCACACCCGCAGCUGGGAUGAAUUAUUGAAGCUCAUUCACUGCAAUGGACCCAGGUUCCACUUGCUUGAUGGAAUGGAGGGGAACGUGAGCGUAUUAUUUCUGUUUGCCUUGUGGUCGGUACAUUUUCAGGCUUUUGUUAAUAGGAAGGGACUCAGCCCUGACCAGCAGAUAAUCUCAGCCUCUGCAGCUCAUGGGAUCUGUGGAGUCGGGCAUCGUAGGAGGCGAAGGGCACACAAACACCAUCCAAUGGCUCCAAACCCACAGGGGCUCUUAGUUACGACAAGUGACACUGUCGUCCCCACAUGCCUAUUCACACCCACACAAGCACAUGCAUGCACAGUACACUCAAAGUCUCCGUGAAGGUACGCUGCCCCACCAGGGGCCCCGGAACGAACACAUGAAGGAUGCUGACGUUUUCAAAGACGACUUUCCAAAAACAGGCUUAAACGCCUCUCUCCCUCGCUUCUCCUUCAGCAGCAAUGCCUCGCUAGCAGGGCUGGCUGGUUUGCCUGUGACCCUUGGUGAAAGCGGAUGAUCUGGGGUGACCAAGAUCAAGGAGGGGGGAUUCCGCCGUGGAGGGUCCUCUGUGCACACGUGGGAGAACAGCCUUCCUCCUCGGCUCUCCCGCGAUCCCCCAGGAGCCGGCCUAUCCCAUAUAGAUGUGUUUCUGCCACUUGGCCCAAAUGUCGAAAUGAUUAGUUACAGCUCUGCACUUCCCCACACAUACCUGCGCGGGCCUUCCCAGUCACAGACGUGUGUUUACACACACACACACACACACACACACUACAUACCAGAGAAAGGUUUGAAUGCUGCUGAGAAGGCCUCCCGACCCUGUCAGCUGGUCACAUGCCUCUCACAGAUCCCACCACUAAAUAUAUAUUCCUCGGGAGUCCCCAGCUGAGAAUCAAAUACCUCUGGUCAAGGCAACGCACCCUCAAGUUACCAUCUAACAUUUUGAUGGGAACAGACUCUGCCCAGGGCACUACUCCCUUCCCAGGCUGGCUGAUGGUCACUCAUGCUGCAGGUCUGAUCUGGCUUCCCUGCCUGUUCCCUCUUCCCCCGGAAUAACUGGGGAGGUUCAUGCCUCCAUCGUAAGUGUCGUUAAAUGAUUAGCUGUGUCAUGACAUUGGUGUAGUUUGUGGCCACAGUAAACUGAGAGCUCCACUUGGUUAGGGCCGCCUUUCUUGUUUGUCACUGUACCCUGCAGUGCCUAACCCGGUGCCUGGUACAAAGCAGAGGCUCGAUAAAGCUUACAUGAAGUUGGAGCGUUUGAGGAAAGGUGUGCCAAGGAGAAAAAGAGGCACAAAAAGGUCAGAGGGUCCCCAAAUCUUUUCAUCUUGGGCCUCUGAAUAUCGGUAGCCUUGCCUUUCCUCACCUGCCAAAGUGACAUCCCUUCCCCCUGCCUGGGGCAUGUUAAGAUGCUUAAUGGGAUCACACAGGUGGACAGCACGAGGUCCCAGGGGACAGAGACAUCUCGGCUGGAAGAAACAGGCUCGAGGGGCAGCCUGGCCUGGUCUGUCCGGCCCUCUUUUCCGAAUGUGACUAAGAGUUCAUACCUCUAUGAAGUCUUGUGUGAGGAAUCCUCUAUUCUAGAUGUUUCCUGGUAAUUGAGAUGUACGAUGUGUGUUGCUGAGAAUGUAUGGUGUCAAUAACAAUGACAAAAAUAUUUACAGCUUUACAUUAACGAAAUGUACUUACAUCUACCGAAAGCUUUCUAUGUGCCAAGAACAGAACCAAGCAUUUUAUAAAGGGUUAUAUAUAAUUAUUUCAGUUAAUUCCGUCUCUUAAGUACAUAUUAUUCCCGUUUUACAGAUGGGGAACAGGCUCAAAGAGAUGAAGUCAUUGGCCCCAGGUCACACUAGGGCCAAACUAGGAACAGUUGAGUCAGGACAGGACUCCGGAGGCCAAGCUUUCACUCUCUGGGAUACACAACCUUCUCUUUUAAGCCCACAAGGAGCCGCCAGCCCACCCUUUACCCCCGGACUUUCAUACUCACUCAGCAGGCAGAAGGGGAUGCCGUUUAUAGACCUGGGACCGAUGCGGGAUCUUGGAAGCUGCCAUUACUUCCUUGUCCUAGAAGCACCUAACAUGGCUCCUGAUUCCUAGCAUCGGAGAUGAGAAGAGAUGCCAGAACAUCUGGAAUUGUAGGAGGAGGCAGACAGAAACAGCUGGGAGGUACCCAUGCCUGGGCGUCCCCCAGCAAGACACUCCUGGGCGCCAGCCCUCCCGCCUGAGAGAUGGGCCCAUGUCAGCCUUCCCUCUGGAUUUCUCCUCUCUCAGUGGUGAUUCUCAGGGCUCCCUUUGGAAUGAUGACCUGAGGCAGGUGAUAGGUGAGCCACACGGGGCCACAUAAACCAAAGCCAGUCAGGGCGAGGGGGGACCUGCUCCUGAGCGUGGGCCCUGUUCUCCUGGGACCUCCCGAAGGGUCCAGCCCCUUCCAGGAAGUGAGAACGACACUGGACACGGGGUGGUGGCCCCCCUUUGCCCAGCCCUCCCUAGUGCACUGACCCCAGCUUUAUUCCUCCAGGGCUUGGCCGGCCUCACGCUCCAUAGCGACAAAUGAGGACUGGACCCAGCGAAGACCCCUAAGGUUCCAGAUUCGUGCGGCUGAAACUCAGUCCGUGUUGCAGACACUUCUGGCUCGUCCUUUUCACCUGCAUGGAUCCUGGUGUUUCCCCUCCGGUCUGUGAACUCCUACAGGACAGGGUCUAAACCCGUGUUGAAAGUGGUCCAUUGGCACGCACGCUCUAUGGCCACUUGCUUCUAUGGUACUGUUUUCCGGGAACUGGACAGCUAGAGGGCACGUCCCUGACGCCCUUACAACUAAGAGCACUUGUGCGACUGGGAGGCCAACACGUGGAAGAGGCCUUCUUUGUGCUAUCUUGAGCUUUCUGCUGGCAGGCCAGGUCCUGGAGACAUGGGAUUCUCCUGGAACAGUUCUUCCAGCUUCCUGGUCUCUUUUCCCUGAUUCCUAGACGGCGAGGCCUGGCAGGUCUUUAAUUUGACAGUCCCAGUGGUGGCCCUCUGAGUCCCCAUCCUGCUGAUCGGGGCAUAUGUAUUCCAUCUCCUCGGUAUGAGCGCUCUUGGCACAGCUUCCGGGAGUCCAUCCACUCUGCAAGUGAUCUUAAUGUUUUGGUAAGCACUCCAUGCCUAUAUUAAGUUCCCUUCCGUUUAAAAUACCUAGAGUAGUUUCUGUUUCCUGUACCGAAACAAGCCCUCCGAAAGCUGUGAAAUGGCUUCCUGGAAAAACUGGUCAGGAGAGUGAAGGGUAGGAAGGCAGGUGAGCAGAAGCAAACAUACAUGAUCAUAAAUCAGCUUCUGUUACUCACAACCGGUAGAUUUUCCCAUUUAGAGUAUAAGAAAGGUAGAGGCAGGAGCAGAGCGGGUAGGCAGGUAGGCACAGAAAUAGACGUAUACUUCAGGGGUCAUAAGGGUUCUACAGAGAGGAGAGGCAGGCCAAUAAGCACACGGUUCAAAUGUGGGAAUUCAGAAAUCUGUUACAGAUCCACCCCUGAAUGCAGAUUAAUGUGUGUGACACUUUGAUAC